rnacentral:rRNA from 1 species
CAACUACGUGCCAGCAGCCGCGGUAAGACGUAGGGCGCGAGCGUUGUCCGGAUUUAUUGGGCGUAAAGAGCUCGUAGGCGGCUUGUCGCGUCGACUGUGAAAACCCGUGGCUCAACUGCGGGCUUGCAGUCGAUACGGGCAGGCUAGAGUUCGGUAGGGGAGACUGGAAUUCCUGGUGUAGCGGUGAAAUGCGCAGAUAUCAGGAGGAACACCGGUGGCGAAGGCGGGUCUCUGGGCCGAUACUGACGCUGAGGAGCGAAAGCGUGGGGAGCGAACAGGAUUAGAUACCCUGGUAGUCCACGCUGUAAACGUUGGGCGCUAGGUGUGGGGGGCCUCUCCGGUUCUCUGUGCCGCAGCUAACGCAUUAAGCGCCCCGCCUGGGGAGUACGGCCGCAAGGCUAAAACUCAAAGGAAUUGACGGGGGCCCGCACAAGCGGCGGAGCAUGCGGAUUAAUUCGAUGCAACGCGAAGAACCUUACCUGGGUUUGACAUCGCCGGAAAUCCUUCAGAGAUGGGGGGUCCUUCGGGGCCGGU